AUUUAAGAUCAACGAUGUUGGCAGUCGUAUUUGGCAUAUACAAUGAUCGGUUUCUCCUGUCCCAUAUUUUCCUGUCUAUGCUUAAUUGUAAUUUGUCGUGUUAAAUGCAUUGAAAGAAAACAGACGUCACUGAAACUGUGGUUCAAACGAAAAUUGACUUCUGAAAGAUUCAACAUAGAAAGGACAUGGAAGUCACUGUGGCAAAAAAACUAAAUUGAAUUCUGAAAGAUUCAAAAGAGGAACAAGAUAUAUUAGAAUAUUUAUAAUUUUUAUAAUUUUGGCCCUGUUUCUGUUACCAGUUAUAAAAGGAGCAGUGGAUAAUAACAUUUGUAAAGAUGAAGAAUUCUAUAUCAUUGUUGGCGUGACCAUUACCUUCUUGUUCCCGAUACCGAUAGCAUAUGAAAUUAUUAAGACAGAAAAUGAUACAAGUACUAGUAUGCAGACACAAGGAAGUCUUGCAGUACAAUCGAAAGAAGAUACAUCGGAUCAAGAUACUCAGGAUCAGAGCACAUCUUUCAUUUAAAAACAAACUUAGUUAAGAAAUUUCGUCAUUAUUCGAAGAAAUAUUUGGCUUAUUGAAUAGGAGAGGAUGUCAACGAUAUCGAAAUAAACCGGUCGUAUUCAGUAAUGUCACACUCAAGGAAAAUAGGAUGAAGUUUGUGGUUAAGACAAGUUUGACAUAUUCCGAUUUUUUCUGUGAAAGUACUUGACUGCAAGAACAUGCUAAGCAUUAGUAAAUUUUGAUAAAAAAAAAUCAUCUGAAGAUUUUUAACAGAAAAUGUAGGCUGAUUGAUAGAACACUGCGUGUCGAUAUCACAGAGAAUGUAAUAUUCUGCAAAUACCUUGUUCGUUGUUCAUUCCAUCCACUCUAACUUUCCUUAGGUCGUCAUUACAUUGCCUACGUUAUAUAUAACUCAGCGUCUGUAUUAAGAAAUUAUGUUUGAAGAUGCUUAGAAGUAUAUAUUAACCACUUUUUAUGAUUUUUUUAAGUAUCUAUAAUUUUCUUAUUUUCAAUUGGAGAUACACUUUACAAGAGUUUGGGUGCAUUUUCAUUCUCCUUGCGUAAUGAAUGUGCUUGACAAAAUGCAUUGGUACGUUUCAUUGGUCUAUAUGUCUUUGCUGACCUAUCCCCCUCAAGUUUCGACUGAAAUUAACCCCAUUAAAAAUUUUAGAUCAAUAUUCUGGAAUUUCUUUUAUAAAUUGUUGUGUUCUCGUCUUGGUGUUAUAAUUGCUAUUCUGGAAUCUUCUUAUGCAUAUUCAGGAAUGCAAGAGAACAUGAGGUCCAAGGACACAGUUAUCGUCCUUUGGUUUUCGUUGUCUACGAAUAUAGUCCCUACUGUGAACAGUGUAUAACUUGCAUUUUCUUUUGCUACACUUUCCCAAUUUAUUUCUUGAUGUUUUAUGCAUGAAAUAUUAAGUAAGGGGAUGAAAUUACAUGUUAAAAAAAUUUGGGUGCUGAAUCUUUAUGUUAAGUAGUGAUUUGGUCCAGUUAAAAAAGGUCAAAAAUUAGAAUAUCUGAAGCUGUCAAACUGAAUUUUAGCCCUCUUAACACAGAAUUGUCAAUAUUUUGAGUUAGAGCUGGUAGAAGUUUCUAUAAUUUUGAUAUUAUUUGUAUCAAUAGUAGUACACUACACUGUAAAAAUCUUUUUGAGAUAGAGCAGGUGCGAUUUUUUUUAAUUUGAAUAGAUUGUCUAAAAGAAAUGCACUACGAAAUAACUGUGUUCUCUGGCCUAAGAUAACGUGAUAUGAAUAUAAACCAUGAUGUGUACUAGACAGCACGUCAAGAUACCCCGACAAAAACAAAGUUAUUUUAAUUUGAAGCUACGUCAUUAUUUUUAUGUUAUCAUAUAUAAGUUUAUGAUUUGUUUAAUGAAGUAAAGAUAAUAGAUACUUAUAAAAAGGCUUCAUCGAGCUAAAGAUGAACUGUCAAAUGAAUAGUAGUAUCAACUUCAAUAUUGAUAAUGUCCUCGCCUAAAGCAACAAUUUGAAUCUAGUUUUUUGAACGAAAUACAAAUAAAUUAUUAUCUUUAUUUUAUAAAUUUUGUGAAAGCUUAUCAAAGACAACAGGUUUAAUAUUUAGACACCAAACGUUUCAUUCGUUCUCAUAUUACGCUUUACUGGGAUCCGAAUUAAAUAUGUUGGAACAUGUGUGUCGAUGAACAGCCAUGGAGACUGUAAUUCUAAUAAUGUUUUCCUUAUCAAGCUACCAAGUAUUCUUGUUACUUUUUGGGGUUUCAAAAAAUUUAAACCUUUUAUUAACAGUUGAUUUACCGACAGUGAUGUAAUAAGUAUUUGUUGCAGGAAGUUAAAAGGGUAUUCUCUUAUGGUUAUGGCCUGUUAUCUAUUUCUUGCAUGAGUAGAUAUUUCUUGUGUCAUACUGCACGGAGUAAUAUACGAAAAAGUGGUACGCAAAUCUGUGUUGAUCUGAUUGGCUUAUCCAGCAUCAUAAGACGAUAUUACUGCAUUUCCAUUGGCUAUUCGUUAGGUCAUUGAUGACUUUCAAAGGUUGCUGCUGGAGGGACACAUGUGUCCACAUCAGCUGUGCCAGAGGGACACAUAUGUCCAUGUUUUAAUUUUUACAAGCUUCUCUUCAUUGCUGUAUCUCUUUCAAAUAAAAGACCGAAGAUUUAACAGUGUUACAUUUUUCUUCAAUGGCUCCCAAAUGUAACGGUCAUUAUGGCGUGACGUCAUUUAUCGAAUGACGUCAUUGUCGGGCAUGCGACGUCACAGACAUCGAGCUGUCGUAUUUUGUUGCACACGAAAUGCAACCUUAAAAAACUACUGGCAGCAAGAGGGUUAAGACGAUGUACAUUUCGUCUAUGGCAACGGACAUAUGCGAUUUCUUCAAUAAUAUAUAAAACACUUACACUUUUCAUCUGACAAUAUUCCUUUUGUCAAUUUUUUUUUAUUCUUAAGCGUACAAAAAGUCUUUAAAUGUCUGAUGUUAACGUUUGACACCGGAAAAUGACAUAUGACUUCACACUGGGAUGUGCAAAAGACUAGAUCAACGAUUCACGGCAGUUUUAAUUUAACACGAUGAUAGUGUUGACCAUUACAGAAAUGGGUUUAACAACUUGUGAGCAUUUCAUAACGAGUGAGAAUGGGAUAUCGCGUAAUAACAACUCUCGUUAUUUCAUUUAAAUAGUAAUUAUAAACUCGCCGAAGGCUAGUUUAUUAUUAUUUUGAAACUAAAUAACUCGAGUUGAUAUCAAGCGAUAUCCAAUUUUCACUCGUUAUGAAACCUAUAAUUAACAGCAAUGGUGUUGGGUAUUAUUAUAUCUAAUGUACUUAUUUUCCUUGAUGUAUUGUUAUUCGACUUAUGAAUAAAGGUUAAAUAAUCA